rnacentral:rRNA from 1 species
UACGAAGGGGGCUAGCGUUGCUCGGAAUCACUGGGCGUAAAGCGCACGUAGGCUGGCUGUUAAGUCGGAUGUGAAAGCCCUCGGCUUAACCGAGGAAGUGCAUUCGAAACUGGCAGCCUUGAGUACAGAAGAGGGUCGCGGAAUUCCCGGUGUAGAGGUGAAAUUCGUAGAUAUCGGGAGGAACACCAGUGGCGAAGGCGGC